GCCACGGUAGCUUAGUUGGUAAAGCAGUCGAUUCGUAAUCGACAGAGCGCCGGUUCGAGUCCAGCCCGUGGCU
rnacentral:tRNA from 1 species